AGGGCACGCUAUGGGGUCUAUAGGGCACACUAUGGGGGCUAUAGGGCACGUUAUAGGGUCUAUAGGGCACACAAUGGGGUCUAUAGGGCGCUAUGGGGGCUACAGGGCACGCUACGGGGCCUAUAGGGCACGCUAUGAGGGCUAUAGGGGCAGCUAUGGGUAUUAUAGGGCACACUAUGGGGGCUAUAGGGCACGCUAUGGGGUUUAUAGGGCACACUAUGAGGGCUAUAGGGUGUGCUAUGGGGCUAUAAGGUUCUAUGGGGCACCCAUGGGUGCUGUGGGGAAUUAUGGGGCACCCAUAGAUUCUAUGGGGACUUAUGGGCAGCAUAUGGGGCAUGUGGGAUCUACGGGGCACCAA
ensembl:lncRNA